rnacentral:misc_RNA from 1 species
CAACCCUCCAGCUUGCUGGGUCUUGGGCUCUGCCGGUCACCCGGCUUGCCUUAAAAUCAGUGGCGGUGCCAUCGAGCUUUACGCGUAGUAAUUUUUUCUCGCGUCUGAGUCUUGGUGUGUGUCUUGCCAGCAACCCCAAAUUUUUUAU